CGGCGGCCGUAACUAUAACGGUCCUAAGGUAGCGAAAUUCCUUGUCGGGUAAGUUCCGACCUGCACGAAUGGCGUAAUGAUGGCCAGGCUGUCUCCACCCGAGACUCAGUGAAAUUGAACUCGCUGUGAAGAUGCAGUGUACCCGCGGCAAGACGGAAAGACCCCGUGAACCUUUACUAUAGCUUGACACUGAACAUUGAGCCUUGAUGUGUAGGAUAGGUGGGAGGCUUUGAAGUGUGGACGCCAGUCUGCAUGGAGCCGACCUUGAAAUACCACCCUUUAAUGUUUGAUGUUCUAACGUUGGCCCCUAAUCGGGGUUGCGGACAGUGUCUGGUGGGUAGUUUGACUGGGGCGGUCUCCUCCUAAAGAGUAACGGAGGAGCACGAAGGUUGGCUAAUCCUGGUCGGACAUCAGGAGGUUAGUGCAAUGGCAUAAGCCAGCUUGACUGCGAGCGUGACGGCGCGAGCAGGUGCGAAAGCAGGUCAUAGUGAUCCGGUGGUUCUGAAUGGAAGGGCCAUCGCUCAACGGAUAAAAGGUACUCCGGGGAUAACAGGCUGAUACCGCCCAAGAGUUCAUAUCGACGGCGGUGUUUGGCACCUCGAUGUCGGCUCAUCACAUCCUGGGGCUGAAGUAGGUCCCAAGGGUAUGGCUGUUCGCCAUUUAAAGUGGUACGCGAGCUGGGUUUAGAACGUCGUGAGACAGUUCGGUCCCUAUCUGCCGUGGGCGCUGGAGAACUGAGGGGGGCUGCUCCUAGUACGAGAGGACCGGAGUGGACGCAUCACUGGUGUUCGGGUUGUCAUGCCAAUGGCACUGCCCGGUAGCUAAAUGCGGAAGAGAUAAGUGCUGAAAGCAUCUAAGCACGAAACUUGCCCCGAGAUGAGUUCUCCCUGACUCCCUGAGAGUCCUGAAGGAACGUUGAAGACGACGACGUUGAUAGGCCGGGUGUGUAAGCGCAGCGAUGCGUUGAGCUAACCGGUACUAAUGAACCGUGAGGCUUAACCUU
rnacentral:rRNA from 1 species